GGACCAUUGCUCUUUAACAUUGUCUCGCUCCAAUUUAUAGGAGGGAGAAGAGGUUCUUUGAAAUAUGUAUGCCCGGUGUGAGAUUAAGAAACAACAGUUCACAUGUUGGUCCGACCAGUUUAUUACAAAUGUUAAUAAGGGAGAUGGGGAAAGGGGAGGACAGACACUAUUAAGGAUUGGGGUGAUGGGGAAGGGAAGGCGAGCGAUAGAAAAGAUAGAAAGAGGCAAGAAUUGCGUAAAGCAGGGAUAGUCACCACCAGGAUCCGGCAGCAGUCCCGUUGCACGACGUUCCGAUGGUCCGAGGCCGAAGGGCAGGAGCAGCGAGGCCGGUCUUGGGCAACGAGAGGGUGCAGGUCAGGGAGGAAGCAGCAGGUCUCAGGUAGCAGGCCCAGGGAAGUCCGUCAGCAAACGGUCCGUAGAGAAGGAUCUGAAGGCAGGAAGCUUGUGUCGUGGUGAGAGAUCAUGAGAGAUCAGCCUCUGUGUUGCGGUGAGAGAUCAGCCUCCACGUUGCAAUGAGAGAUCAGAUGGCAGAGAACCUCUCAAGUCUGUCGUGGUGAGAGAGAAGCCUCUACCGUUGCCGUGGUUGUGGUGAAGGAUCAGCUUCCACCGUUGUGGUUAUUGGACCCUCUUUUAUCCUCCAUUUUCUGCUGCCUACGUGACAUUCCUGGGUGCUUGAGCAAGAGUCCUGUGCAUACCUCCUGAGAUGGCCAUUUUCCUUGAGAUAAGUCCACACAAAAAGACCGUUUCCCGGCCAUUAGCAGCAGCUUAUCUCUCUCUCAAUGCCCCUGGCCUUGUCCAUCUGUGCUCCUUAGAGGAUUUCACAAUCCUUAGCCAGUACCUGUCCAUCAGUGUCCUCAAGACAAAAGAUUUCUCUGCCUUUGCCCAGGACUUGCCUGGACUUGUUCCUCAGCAAACUUUGAGUCAAUGAUAUAAAAGAAUAGUCUCUUACAGACUGCCACAAGUCCACGGGGCCCGAUGAGAUUCACUGAAGAGUGCUGAGGGAACUGGCGGAGGUGAUAGCUGAGCCACUUUCCAUCAUCUGUCAGUGCUCCUUGUUGACUGGAGAGGUCCCAGAAGACUGGAGGCUUGCCAAUGUGACUCCCAUCUACAAGAAGGACUACAGGGAGGAUCCGGGGAACUACAGGCCUGUUAGCCUGACCUCAGUGCCAGGGAAGAUUAUGGAGCAGACUGUCUUGAGGGAGAUCAAGCCAAGCCAGCAUGGGUUCACGAAGGGCAGGUCCUGCUUGACUGACCAACCUGAUCUCCUUCUAUGAUCUAGUGACCCGUCUGGUGGAUGAGGGAAAGGCUGUUGAUGUAGUCUACCUAGACUUCAGCAAAGCCUUGACACUGUUUCCCACAGUAUUCUCCUGCAGAAGUUGGCAGUCCGUGGCUUGGACAGCUACAUUCUUGGCUGGGUAAGGAAUUGGCUGGAGGGCUGAGCUCAGAGAGUGGCGGUGAAUGGAAUUAAAUCCAGCUAGCAACUAGUCACAAGUGGUGUUCCCCAGGGGUUGUGCUGGGGCCCAUUCUCUCCAAUAUCUUUAUUGAUGACCUGGAUGAGGGCACUGAGUGCACCCUCAGUAAGUUUGCAGAUGACAACAAGUUGGCUGGAAGUGUCAACCUGCCUGGGGGCAGUGAGGCCCUACAGAGGGAUCUGGACAGGCUGGAUGGCUGGGCUGAAGCUGAUGUGAUGAGGUUCAGCAAGACCAAAUUCCAGGUCUUGCAUUUUGGCCACAAUAACCCCAGGCAACACUACAGGCUUGGGGCAGAGUGGCUGGAAGACUGUAGAGGAAAUGGACCUGGGGGUAUUGAUUGAUGCUCAACUGAACAUGAGCCAGCAGUGUGCCCAGGUGACCAAGAAGGCCAAUGGUAUCCUGGCUUGCAUCAGAAACAGUGCUGCCAGCAGGAACAGAGGAGUAAUUAUCCCCCUGUGCUCAGCCCUGGUGAGGCCGCACCUGGAGUACUGUGUCCAGUUUUGGGCCCCUCACUGUAAGAAAGACAUCGAGGCCCUGGAGCGUGUUCAAAGAAGGGCAUCAAAGCUGGUGAAGGAUCUGGAGCACAGGCUUUAUGAGGAACAGCUGAAGGAGCUGGGAUUGUUCAGUCUGGAGAAGAGGAGGCUCAGGGGAGACCUUAUUGCUCUCUAUAACUACCUGAAGGGAGGUUGUAGUGAGCUGGGGGCCAGCCUCUUCUCUUGUGUAACUAGUGACAGGACUAGAGGGAAUGGCUUCAAGCUGCACCAGGGAGGUUCAGGCUGGACAUCAGGAAAUACUUUUUCUCUGAAAGAGUGGUGAGGCACUGGAAUGGGCUGCCAAGGGAGCUGGUGGAGUCACCUACCCUGGGGGUGUUCAAGGAACAUUUGGACAUUGUGUUGAGGGACAUGGUUUAUUGAGAACUAUUGAUGAUGGGUGGAUGGUUGGACUGGGUGAUCCUGUGGGUCUUUUCCAACCUUGAUGAUUCUAUGAUUCUGUGAAAACAAAUAGACACACACUGUAGCUAUGGUAAGAGGUGAAAGUAACAAUAAAAAUAAUUUCAUGAUAAAGUAACAUGACAUCACAAACAAACUAUGAAGGUAUCUGAAAAGUCUGUUGUCAGCAGUGCUUAGGGUACAUUGUAGGUUUCUUAUAUAUUCCUGUUCCUAUGUAAGAAAUGUCACUUAGCUUAUCUUGUCCAUCCCAUUAUAUAGCCAUGUGAAUGAAGUCAGGAGAGAAAAUACUGGUAAUAAUCACUUUCUGACUCCUUUCAUAUCACAGUCCUUUCACAGUCCUUCCACACUCCUUUCAUAUCCACCUAGCACAGAGAACUAGCAUUACUUCAAAGAGUGGGAAAUGGGGGAGGAUUAGAUGUCACUGAUGAGGUGUCAUGAUUCAGAUUAACAGGAGUACAAUUCUUUGAGGAGAGAAAGAAGCAUCUCAUUUUAGAUGAAUCAACACAAUUGUGCUAAAGAACCAAAUCAACUCUCCAGGACUCCCUUUAAGGGCAGAUGAGCAUCAUUCCUUGCACAACUGCUCUUCCAUGACAUGUCUUCCUCCUGUUUUUCUAAUGUAAAUGAUAAUAAGGUAGUAUAACAAACUACUUCUAAGUCAGAAGUGUAGCAUUUUGCAUAGAUGCUGUCUUGCUCCAAUUUAUAGGAGGGAGAGGAGGUUCUUUGAUAUAUGUACACCCAGUGUGAGAUUAAGAAACAAUGGUCCAGAUGUUGGUCCGACCAGUUUAUUACAAAUCUUAAUAAGGGAGAUGGAGAAAGGGAGGACGGACACUAUUACAGAUUGGGGUGAUGGGGAAGGGAAGGUGGGUGAUAGAAAAGAUAGAAAGAAGCAAGAAUUGUGUAAAGUGGGGAUAGUCACCACCAGGAUCCGGCAGUAUCCCAUUGCAUGACGUUCCUACGGUCCGGGGCAAAAGCAUAGGAGAAGAGCAGCAGCAGCGUGGCCGGUCUUGGGCAGCAGGAAGGUGCAGGUACUGAGUAGGUCCAGGAAGAAGUCCGGGAGGAAACAGCAGGUCUCCGGUAGCAGGCCCUGGAGAGUCUGUCAGCAUGCAGGUCUUUCAUAGUGAGGCAUCUGAUGGCAGACACCUUCUCAGGGGGGAGAGCAGUAGCAGAGGGGCCAUCCUUAGGCAGCAAGCAGGUAGAGCACAGAGCAAGUCCAGGAGAGAGAGGCAGGUCAUGAGGAAUCUGUUGUCAGAAACCUGCCUUCAUGGUUGUUGGACUCUCUUUUAUCCUUCUUCUUCCCUGCCUACAUGACAUUCCUGGGCACUUGGGUAAGGGUCAUGUGAGCAUCCCCUGAGAUGGCUGUCUCCCUUGGGAUAAGUCCACACAAAAGACUGUUUCCUGGCCAUUUAGCUGCCACUUACCUCUCUCUCAUUGCCCCUGGCCUUGUCCAUCUGUUGCCCCUUCAGACAAAGGAUUUCCUAAUCCUUGGUCAGGACAUGCUUGAACUUGUUCAUCUGUGUCCCUCAGCAAGCUUUGAGGCAAUGGUGUAAAAGAAUGACCUCUUACAGAUGCAGAUUUGCAAUAGUUUGUCCUAUACUCUACAGUAUUGAAUUAGAGUUUAAUAAGGAUCCAAACUUGUUAUAUGGAUAGAAGGAACUAUAUCACUGAAACAGGCAAAAAACAGGUAGUGCAGACCAUAACAGUAAAAAUGGAUUGAUAUCAACAUCUAAAUUCAAACUUUGCAUUCAAAAAGUCAGACCUGACCCUUCAUAGGAAAAUAUCUUCUUCAGGAGUAUCUUCAGGAAAAAAUUUCUUCACAGAAAGGGUAACCACCUGAGUAAAAAAAGAGUAAACACUGGAGUAGGCUUCCCAGGCAGGUGGCCACCCCUGGAUGUGUUUAAAGACUAUUUGGAUGUGGUACUCAGGGACAAGAUUUAGCAGUGGUUGUUAGAGUUAGGGUAGUAUGGUUAGGUUGGAGUUGCACUUGGUCUUUUCCAAUCUGAGAAAUUCUAUGAUCUUUCCAUGGCAUUCAUUGAAUGAGAAAUCAUUAGAUACAUACCAUGUAACAAGACAUAUUGUAUGAACAUCAGGGAAUACUGAACAGUAACAGGCCGAUACCAACUAGGUCAACAGCAAUAGCAACCACCUUUUAACAUGUAACCUGUUUCUCAGAAAUAGUAGAAAGAGAUUUUUUUAAGUCAUGUGUUGCAUUACUUCUGUGGGGGAAGCUCAGUAAUCUUUAGUAAUCAUUACUCAGUAAUAAUUACUCAUGAAAAGGUGUCUCUGUGAUUAAAUAACUCCACACAUAAUCACAAAAGAGUUCUUACUUCAGGAAGCUGUUGAAGAUAUUAUUAUCUCAGAUGUCCACCAUCAAACACAUUCUCAGAGGACAUUUUAAGGGCUAAUGGCAGUGCUAGAGACAGAAGGGCCUUGUUUACUGCAGCCUAUGUGAAGAGUCCCUCUUAUUAACAGAUGAAUUGACAAGAAGUCCCAAAUGUUAUCCAUCUGCUACCAUCUUUCCAACCAGCACUACAACAAGGUCUACACAUAUGGAGUAGAAACUCACCUCUCCUUUAGGGCUCACUUUCAUUAACAGGAAGAAAAAGAUAAGAAUUCCUAAACAAAACUAACAAACAACAACAACAAAUAAAAGAAAAAAAUCAAAAUAAAAGAAAUAGGAAAAUAAUAUAUUUAAACAUCAAUUUACUAAAAUGUAGGCCAAGAUCUUUCUCCAUUGUGGAGUUUCACAGCAAUUAAGAUUUCACUUGAAUCAUGACAGUCAUUUUUCCUCUUCAGUAAGUAUUUGGAUAAUAGACCACUACUUGCCUGAAAAUCUGAAAAGCCUGUGCAAGAAUCAUGAGGAAGAAAGACUUUGCAAGAUUAUUUAGCCCUCCUUAUGUAUUAAGGCAUAUGCAUCACAUCUGUAGUGCUCCUAUCAAAUGUUUUCCUCAUCUACUCCUAGGUGGAACUCUACGUCAUUUUUUUA
ensembl:lncRNA